AGCCGGGUCCCGCGCAACAGAGGCUCAUGAACCCCGUCAGGUCCGGGAGGAAGCAGCGGUAAUGAAUCCCCUUUGUGUGCCGCGGGGGUGCCUGGCUAUC
rfam:Desulfobulbaceae bacterium DB1 DB1_contig_16, whole genome shotgun sequence.